rnacentral:tRNA from 1 species
AGUAAGGUAGCUCAGUGGUAGAGUGUGUGCUUAGCAUGCCCAAGUCCCUGGGUUCCAUUCCCAGCCCUGCAA